rnacentral:lncRNA from 1 species
AUACAGCACAAACAACAUUUUCCAAAAGACCAAAAAGUGAAAAAGUAUAUUUUAACAAAACGCAUUUGGCUAACACGGCGAACAACUGAUGUUCUUAAACCCUGCUGACUGUCAUUGGCGAUUGCCAAAUAAAUAGAUCACAAGAUGUAACAAAAUGGAUCUUAAUAUGAAUUUUAUACUAAACAGAAAACAAUAAACUUGCAGCAAAGAUGUUAUAC